rnacentral:tRNA from 1 species
GUUGGAGUGUCAGAGCCUGAUAAUAGUAUAAAACUUAAAACUUUAUAGUCAGAGGUUCAACUCCUCUUCUUAACA